rnacentral:rRNA from 1 species
UACGUAGGGUGCGAGCGUUAAUCGGAAUUACUGGGCGUAAAGCGUGCGCAGGCGGUUCGUUGUGUCGGCGGUGAAAGCCCCGGGCUUAACCUGGGAAUGGCCGUUGAGACUGGCGAACUGGAGUGUGGCAGAGGGGGGUGGAAUUCCGCGUGUAGCAGUGAAAUGCGUAGAGAUGUGGAGGAAUACCGAUGGCGAAGGCAGCCCCCUGGGCCAAUACUGACGCUCAUGCACGAAAGCGUGGGGAGCAAACAGG